rnacentral:lncRNA from 1 species
CAACAGUGCCUUGGCGUUUCUGAAUCAGGAGCUUGCGAUGUCAUAGAUCUUGGCAGCUCGUCAGCACGAUUCUGGUUAAUUUUGCUUUGGACGAGCUGAGCUUGUCAACUACAUUCUUAGCUUUUCUUAUAACACACAGACGUCUGCAGUGCCAACAUUUAAAAUUUGCGGUUAUUUCUCUUUUUUUGUGUGUGUAUGUGUUUUACUACAUAGAUAGCAGCACUAAUUCAGUGCUUUGAAGAUCGUGUUUAUUCAGUCUUAGUGUUCUACAACAUAGAUGGCAGCCACUUCAUCACCGCUGGAGGGGCACGUUUAUUAGAUCUCAAAGGCUGCUUGUUUGGAAUCACACACUUUUUGUGCUUUUUGGCAAAUUUGGAACGCUGGUGUCUGCCACUGGCAGCUCAUACGCAAGUGUGAAAAAAAGCCCCUGUACAACUCUGACAGUGAAAGUUGAGAGUGAAAGCAAUGUACUAGGGUGUACUUCGAGUGAGGAGGAUGGUGAUAAUCUCCUGAUCACUUCUUCUACCGAAAGUGAUAAUUUGGAAAGCGAAGACAACACUGACCUGGCUUGACAGUGGUGCACGUUUUCGAUGGAGUGAAGUUUGAAAAUAA